GACGUAGGGUGCAAGCGUUGUCCGGAUUUACUGGGCGUAAAGCGCGCGUAGGCGGCUCGUUAAGUGUGAAGUGAAAUCCCUGGGCUCAACUCAGGAACUGCUUUACAUACUGGCGAGCUUGAGGGAUGCAGAGGUCUGUGGAAUUCCUGGUGUAACGGUGAAAUGCGUAGAUAUCGGGAGGAACACCAGUGGCGAAGGCGAUCACCUGGGGUUGUUCUGACGCUGAGGAGCGAAAGCUAGGGGAGCAAACGGG
rnacentral:rRNA from 1 species